AGAUAGCCCAUGUGAACAUCUCUACCAUAAUCCUCCACACUUAGCAGGUGCUCAAUCCAUGUUCCUUUUCCCCUCCGCUGCUCUUUCAGAAUAUCCUGAAUAUACUGACCCGUCUUUAAGGUGUCAGGUUCAUGUUAGCAUUACUGCUAAUUAACGACUGACCAUGAUGCAGCGCUGUGGUAGUGGAGCUCUCGACGCUUAGUGAAGUGAUUG
rnacentral:lncRNA from 1 species